UACAGAGACUGCAAGCGUUGUUCGGAUUCAUUGGGCGUAAAGGGUGUGUAGGUGGCGCCGUAAGUCGGGUGUGAAAUUUCGGAGCUUAACUCCGAAACUGCAUUCGAUACUGCGGUGCUUGAGGACUGGAGAGGAGACUGGAAUUCAUGGUGUAGCAGUGAAAUGCGUAGAGAUCAUGAGGAAGACCAGUGGCGAAGGCGAGUCUCUGGACAGUUCCUGACACUGAGACACGAAGGCCAGGGGAGCAAACGGG
rnacentral:rRNA from 1 species